rnacentral:rRNA from 1 species
UAAGGAAUAUUGGUCAAUGGACGCAAGUCUGAACCAGCCAUGCCGCGUGAAGGAUUAAGGUCCUCUGGAUUGUAAACUUCUUUUAUCUGGGACGAAAAAAGGCGAUUCUUCGUCACUUGACGGUACCAGAUGAAUAAGCACCGGCUAACUCCGUGCCAGCAGCCGCGGUAAUACGGAGGGUGCAAGCGUUAUCCGGAUUCACUGGGUUUAAAGGGUGCGUAGGCGGGCAGGUAAGUCAGUGGUGAAAUCCUAGAGCUUAACUCUAGAACUGCCAUUGAUACUAUCUGUCUUGAAUAUUGUGGAGGUAAGCGGAAUAUGUCAUGUAGCGGUGAAAUGCUUAGAUAUGACAUAGAACACCUAUUGCGAAGGCAGCUUACUACGCAUAUAUUGACGCUGAGGCACGAAAGCGUGGGGAUCAAACAGGAUUAGAUACCCUGGUAGUCCACGCCCUAAACGAUGAUUACUCGACAUUUGUGAUACACUAUAAGUGUCUGAGCGAAAGCAUUAAGUAAUCCACCUGGGAAGUACGACCGCAAGGUUGAAACUUAAAUGAAUUGACGGGGUCAUAGCUGUUUCCUG